rnacentral:rRNA from 1 species
ACCCUAUGGAGCUUUAACUAACCAACCCAAAGAGAAUAGAUUUAACCAUUAAGGAAUAACAACAAUCUCCAUGAGUUGGUAGUUUCGGUUGGGGUGACCUCGGAGAAUAAAAAAUCCUCCGAGCGAUUUUAAAGACUAGACCCACAAGUCAAAUCACUCUAUCGCUCAUUGAUCCAAAAACUUGAUCAACGGAACAAGUUACCCUAGGGAUAACAGCGCAAUCCUAUUCAAGAGUCCAUAUCGACAAUAGGGUUUACGACCUCGAUGUUGGAUCAGGACAUCCUGAUGGUGCAACCGCUAUCAAAGGUUCGUUUGUUCAACGAUUAAAGUCCUACGUGAU